rnacentral:tRNA from 1 species
GGCUGGAUAGCUCAGUUGGUAGAGCACUGGAAUGGCAAUCCGGAGGUUGCAGGUUCAAACCCUGCUCCAGUCA